rnacentral:rRNA from 1 species
UACGGGGGGGGCAAGCGUUGUUCGGAAUUACUGGGCGUAAAGUGUGCGCAGGCGGCCGAGCAAGUCGAGUGUGAAAGCCCCGAGCUUAACUUGGGAACUGCGCUCGAAACUACUUGGCUAGAGUGUGGCAGAGGGAGGUGGAAUUCCACGUGUAGCGGUGAAAUGCGUAGAGAUGUGGAGGAACACCGAUGGCGAAGGCAGCCUCCUGGGCCAACACUGACGCUCAUGCACGAAAGCGUGGGGAGCAAACAGG